UGUGUUUCCUCUGGUACCAUGUGGUUCUGAAAGUGGAGAUAUGGUCACUCUUGGCUGCCUUGCCACUGGCUUUAACCCUCCUGCAGUGACUUUCUCAUGGAGCAACGGCAGCACUGCCUUGACAGACUUCAUCCAGUACCCUGCAGUUCAAAAUGGCAAUGUUUAUACUGGAGUCAGUCAAGUCCGAGUGAGGAGACAGGAGUGGGAUGGACGACAGAAUUUUCAAUGUGCUGUAAACCACGCUGCUGGGAAUGGACAGGCUGGUAUCACAAAACCACAGGCGUCCACGCCGAAUCCACCUGUGAGCACUACUGACCAAUACGACAAAGGAAAGCCAACAGUAGCAGUCUACACCCCCCCACAGCUGCACAUUAACCAGCUUCGGUCUGAAGAUAAAAUCACUCUGGUGUGUCUGGUCACCAGUACUGUGGAUGAGACGUAUAAAAUCGAAUGGUCAGAAAUGUUUGGAAAGACACAAGGAGCUUAUGUUACAGCCACCGACAUCCCUCCACAGCAGAGCAAAAAUGACCAGAAAUGGCUAAGUAUGAGUCUUUACACCACCAGUAAGGCAGACUGGGACGAAAAAAAACCAACCAAAGAGUUCAUCUGCCGUGUCGGAGUCGGAACUGGACAUAUUAAUAAAACAGUGUCCAGUGUCAUUGAUGAUUUUUGUGAUCUGAGUUGGGACGAUAUCACCGCUGAAGACGAUUUUGGCAGCCUGUGGUCCACAGCUUCCUCCUUCAUAUUGCUUUUCAUAUUCUCUCUCUUUUAUAGCAUUAUUAUCAGCCUUCUUAAG